UACGGAAGGCAGCAGUGGGGAAUAUUGCACAAUGGGCGCAAGCCUGAUGCAGCCAUGCCGCGUGUAUGAAGAAGGCCUUCGGGUUGUAAAGUACUUUCAGUCGUGAGGAAGGUGUUAAGGUUAAUAACCUUAGCAAUUGACGUUAGCGACAGAAGAAGCACCGGCUAACUCCGUGCCAGCAGCCGCGGUAAUACGGAGGGUGCGAGCGUUAAUCGGAAUUACUGGGCGUAAAGGGCACGCAGGCGGUUAAUUAAGUUGGAUGUGAAAUCCCCGGGCUUAACCUGGGAAUGGCAUUCAAGACUGGUUAGCUAGAGUCUUGUAGAGGGGGUAGAAUUCCAUGUGUAGCGGUGAAAUGCGUAGAGAUGUGGAGGAAAUACCGGUGGCGAAAGGCGGCCCCUGGGACAAAGACUGACGCUCAUGUGCGAAAGCGUGGGGAGCAAACAGGGAUUAGAUACC
rnacentral:rRNA from 1 species